UGAGGAAUAUUGGUCAAUGGGCGUAAGCCUGAACCAGCCAAGUAGCGUGCAGGAAGACGGCCCUAUGGGUUGUAAACUGCUUUUAUACGAGAAUAAUUUGAUGCACGUGUGCGUUAUUGCAUGUAUCGUAUGAAUAAGGACCGGCUAAUUCCGUGCCAGCAGCCGCGGUAAUACGGAAGGUCCAGGCGUUAUCCGGAUUUAUUGGGUUUAAAGGGAGUGUAGGCGGUUUGUUAAGCGUGUUGUGAAAUUUAGGUGCUCAACAUUUAACUUGCAGCGCGAACUGUCAGACUUGAGUACACGCAACGUAUGCGGAAUUCACGGUGUAGCGGUGAAAUGCUUAGAUAUCAUGAAGAACUCCGAUUGCGAAGGCAGCAUACGGGAGUGUAACUGACGCUUAAGCUCGAAGGUGCGGGUAUCGAACAGGAUUAGAUACCCUGGUAGUCCGCACAGUAAACGAUGGAUGCCCGCUGUUAGCGCCUGGCGUUAGCGGCUAAGCGAAAGCAUUAAGCAUCCCACCUGGGGAGUACGCCGGCAACGGUG
rnacentral:rRNA from 1 species